rnacentral:rRNA from 1 species
GUAACAGGGAGUGCUUGCACUUUGCUGACGACCGGCGCACGGGUGCGUAACGCGUAUAGAACCUACCUUUUACUGGAGAAUAGCCCAGAGAAAUUUGGAUUAAUGCUCCAUAGUAUCAUUUUUUGGCAUCAUUAGAUGAUUAAAGAUUUAUCGGUAAAAGAUGGCUAUGCGUUCUAUUAGCUAGUUGGUAUGGUAACGGCAUACCAAGGCGACGAUAGAUAGGGGUCCUGAGAGGGAGAUCCCCCACACUGGUACUGAGACACGGACCAGACUCCUACGGGAGGCAGCAGUGAGGAAUAUUGGACAAUGGAGGCAACUCUGAUCCAGCCAUGCCGCGUGUAGGAAGACUGCCCUAUGGGUUGUAAACUACUUUUAUAGAGGAAGAAACCGCUCUACGUGUAGAGCUCUGACGGUACUCUACGAAUAAGGAUCGGCUAACUCCGUGCCAGCAGCCGCGGUAAUACGGAGGAUCCAAGCGUUAUCCGGAAUCAUUGGGUUUAAAGGGUCCGUAGGCGGGUUUGUAAGUCAGUGGUGAAAAUUUUCGGCUCAACCGGAAAAUUGCCAUUGAUACUGCAAGUCUUGAAUCGUUGUGAAGUGGUUAGAAUGUGUAGUGUAGCGGUGAAAUGCAUAGAUAUUACACAGAAUACCGAUUGCGAAGGCAGAUCACUAACAAUGUAUUGACGCUAAGGGACGAAAGCGUGGGUAGCGAACAGGAUUAGAUACCCUGGUAGUCCACGCCGUAAACGAUGGUUACUAGCUGUUCGGAUUUCGGUCUGAGUGGCUAAGCGAAAGUGAUAAGUAACCCACCUGGGGAGUACGUUCGCAAGAAUGAAA